UUUUGGCUUUGACUCCAGGUAAUAUAUUCACACGGUUCACGAUUCAAAUGUUACUAAAGGGCACAUAUACAGUGAACAGUACAGUAUCUGAUGUCAUGGUUCUGAAGAUGUGCUGAGAAAGCUAUGCAGAAUUACAGUGUUGAUUCCAAAUUUAAGCAAAGGUUAUCACCAGUGGAUGUCAUCACCAAUGGACAGGGCUCUGAACCAGGCUCGUUGUGGCACACCAGAGGGACAACCAAAAGGCCGGAGACAGAUUAAUGAAGUAACACAGUGGCAUGGAUUUGUCCCCCCUAUUUUGACAAGAGUCAAGAGUUCAACA